rnacentral:rRNA from 1 species
AUUGAACGCUGGCGGCAGGCCUAACACAUGCAAGUCGAACGAGUGGCGGACGGGUGAGUAAUGUCUGGGAAACUGCCUGAUGGAGGGGGAUAACUACUGGAAACGGUAGCUAAUACCGCAUACCAUCAGCUGUGCCCAGAUGGGAUUAGCUAGUUGGUGGGGUAACGGCUCACCAAUGAGACGAUCCCUAGCUGGUCUGAGAGGAUGACAGGCCACACUGGAACUGAGAAACGGUCCGUACCCCGACGGGAGGCAGCAGUGGGUAAUAGUGCAGAAGGGGCGCAAGCCGGAUGCAGCCAGGCCGCGUGUAUGAAUAAGGCCUUCGGGUUGUAAAGUAAUUUCAGCGGGGAGGCGUUACCCGCAGAAGAAGCACCGGCUAACUCCGUGCCAGCAGCCGCGGUAAUUC